rnacentral:rRNA from 1 species
CCUGCCCAGGCCAGCAUCAGUUCGCCCCGGGGGAUAAAGGUUUCGGGAAUGUGGCUCCUCCGGGAGUGUUAUAGCCCGUUGCGUAAUACCCUGGGACGGACUGAGGUUCGCGCUCUGCAAGGAUGCUGGCGUAAUGGUCAUCAACGA